rnacentral:rRNA from 1 species
UACGUAGGGGGCAAGCGUUGUCCGGAUUUAUUGGGCGUAAAGGGCUCGUAGGCGGUUCCGUAAGUCGUGAAGUCAAAUCUCUGGGCUCAACCCAGAAUCGCUUCCGAUACUGCGGUGACUGGAGUCCGGUAGGGGAGUGCGGAAUUCCUGGUGUAGCGGUGGAAUGCGUAGAGAUCGGGAAGAACAUCAGUGGCGAAGGCGGUCUGCUGGGCCGUUGCUGACGCUGAGGCGCGACAGCGUGGGGAGCAAACAGG